CAGGCUUAACACAUGCAAGUCGAGGGGCAUCAGGAAGGAAGCUUGCUUUCUUUGCUGGCGACCGGCGCACGGGUGAGUAACACGUAUCCAACCUGCCCUUUACUCGGGGAUAGCCUUUCGAAAGAAAGAUUAAUACCCGAUAGCAUAAUGAUUCCGCAUGGUUUCAUUAUUAAAGGAUUCCGGUAAAGGAUGGGGAUGCGUUCCAUUAGGUUGUUGGUGGGGUAACGGCCCACCAAGCCUUCGAUGGAUAGGGGUUCUGAGAGGAAGGUCCCCCACAUUGGAACUGAGACACGGUCCAAACUCCUACGGGAGGCAGCAGUGAGGAAUAUUGGUCAAUGGGCGCUAGCCUGAACCAGCCAAGUAGCGUGAAGGAUGAAGGCUCUAUGGGUCGUAAACUUCUUUUAUAUAAGAAUAAAGUGCAGUAUGUAUACUGUUUUGUAUGUAUUAUAUGAAUAAGGAUCGGCUAACUCCGUGCCAGCAGCCGCGGUAAUACGGAGGAUCCGAGCGUUAUCCGGAUUUAUUGGGUUUAAAGGGAGCGUAGGUGGACUGGUAAGUCAGUUGUGAAAGUUUGCGGCUCAACCGUAAAAUUGCAGUUGAUACUGUCAGUCUUGAGUACAGUAGAGGUGGGCGGAAUUCGUGGUGUAGCGGUGAAAUGCUUAGAUAUCACGAAGAACUCCGAUUGCGAAGGCAGCUCACUGGACUGCAACUGACACUGAUGCUCGAAAGUGUGGGUAUCAAACAGGAUUAGAUACCCUGGUAGUCCACACAGUAAACGAUGAAUACUCGCUGUUUGCGAUAUACAGUAAGCGGCCAAGCGAAAGCAUUAAGUAUUCCACCUGGGGAGUACGCCGGCAACGGUGAAACUCAAAGGAAUUGACGGGGGCCCGCACAAGCGGAGGAACAUGUGGUUUAAUUCGAUGAUACGCGAGGAACCUUACCCGGGCUUAAAUUGCAGUGGAAUGAUGUGGAAACAUGUCAGUGAGCAAUCACCGCUGUGAAGGUGCUGCAUGGUUGUCGUCAGCUCGUGCCGUGAGGUGUCGGCUUAAGUGCCAUAACGAGCGCAACCCUUAUCUUCAGUUACUAACAGGUCAUGCUGAGGACUCUGGAGAGACUGCCGUCGUAAGAUGUGAGGAAGGUGGGGAUGACGUCAAAUCAGCACGGCCCUUACGUCCGGGGCUACACACGUGUUACAAUGGGGGGUACAGAAGGCAGCUAGCGGGUGACCGUAUGCUAAUCCCAAAAGCCUCUCUCAGUUCGGAUCGAAGUCUGCAACCCGACUUCGUGAAGCUGGAUUCGCUAGUAAUCGCGCAUCAGCCACGGCGCGGUGAAUACGUUCCCGGGCCUUGUACACACCGCCCGUCAAGCCAUGGGAGCCGGGGGUACCUGAAGUACGUAACCGCAAGGAUCGUCCUAGGGUAAAACUGGUGACUGGGGCUAAGU
rnacentral:rRNA from 1 species